UACGGGGGGGGCAAGCGUUGUUCGGAAUUACUGGGCGUAAAGGGCUCGUAGGCGGCCAACUAAGUCAGACGUGAAAUCCCUCGGCUUAACCGGGGAACUGCGUCUGAUACUGGAUGGCUUGAGUUUGGGAGAGGGAUGCGGAAUUCCAGGUGUAGCGGUGAAAUUCGUAGAUAUUGGGAAGAACACCGGUGGCGAAGGCGGCCAUCUGGACCAUUUCUGACGCUGAGGCGCGAAAGCGUGGGGAGCAAACAGG
rnacentral:rRNA from 1 species